GCCAGACUCCUACGGGAGGCAGCAGUGGGGAAUAUUGCACAAUGGGGGAAACCCUGAUGCAGCGACGCCGCGUGGGUGAGGAAGUAUUUCGGUAUGUAAAGCCCUAUCAGCAGGGAAGAAGAUGACAGUACCUGACUAAGAAGCCCCGGCUAACUACGUGCCAGCAGCCGCGGUAAUACGUAGGGGGCAAGCGUUAUCCGGAUUUACUGGGUGUAAAGGGAGCGCAGGUGGCAAGGCAAGCCAGAAGUGAAAGCCCGGGGCCCAACCCCGGGACUGCUCUUGGAACUGCGUGGCUGGAGUGCAGGAGGGGCAGGCGGAAUUCCUGGUGUAGCGGUGAAAUGCGUAGAUAUCAGGAGGAACACCGGUGGCGAAGGCGGCCUGCUGGACUGCAACUGACGUUGAGGCCCGAAAGCGUGGGGAGCAAACAGGAUUAGAUACCCUCGUAGA
rnacentral:rRNA from 1 species